rnacentral:misc_RNA from 1 species
UGGAAGACAUUGUCAGGUGGG